rnacentral:lncRNA from 1 species
CCGCGAACUCACUUGCCUCGCGCGCUCCCGCCGCACACACCAGACCCUCCUUCCUCAUCAGAGGUAAGCUCACUGCAGCCAGAGUUCAUCAAAGUCUUUCCUUUUCCUUGUCCAUGAAUCCUGAAUUCCUGACCAUGGAGCUGAGCUGAUGCCUCGACAUGAAUUUGUGAGCGAAGGCAAACACAAGCGCGUGCGAGGGGAAGGAUGGCGUCUGUUUCCAGGGCCGUGUGGAGCCUGCAGAGGCCGGUCUCGAACGGCACGAUGACCAGGGAGGCGCCCUCCGGCCGCCGAUCGGUCGCGGCGCCGAGGUCCCGGCGCGCCAAAGCCGUCGUGGUUCGCUCCGAGUCCGGCUCGGGACGCGGCGAGCAUUGCGCCCCUGCCAGGGCCGUCGCCGACGUCGCGCCGAUUCAGGCGACGAAGAAGGUAACUGCGUGCAACUCUUACAAACUGAAUUGUUGGAAGCAGCCAAUUGGCGAAUUCACUUGGUUCGGCAGGAAGUUGCUUUUAGGCGCGUACAUCAGCACACACACCAGUACACCAGCACACGUAAAGUGAUAAAGGUUCGAUGCUUUUCAUAAAAGAUAAAAGAUAAAAGUUUUUUUUAUAAUGAACAAGAAAAAAGGUUUGAUUUUGAUGGUUCCAUUUGACUUGGACCAGUUUGGGAACAGUUCCGUUACAGCACCUUUGGUUCAACUUGUGUCUGCUUUUAUUCAAAAAAAAAAAGAACGGCGGCCCAAAACUUUUUCGACCAGUUUAGGAACAGUUCCGUUAGAGCACCUUUGGUUCAACUUUGUGUCCAUCAGAACGGCAGGCCAAAACUUUUCCAAAAAGAACUUCCGACCAUAAAGAAGCGUUGUAGGCUCACAGCCACAGCACUGUGAACAUAUAGCAGACUACAAACCGUUAAGUGCAAGUUUUUAACUGGCCUACGAGGGGCUCAUUCCCCCUUCUUCCUCCCAUCCUCUCUUUCUCUUCUUCCUCCUCCUCCUUUUUUCUCUUCUUCCUCUUACAUCCAUGGUUAAAAUUUUCAUGGGCUGCGCGGGGUAGGGGCUCUAGGCUUGGGCAUUUCUCAGGCUGGGUCGGGCUUUAGCCGGGCUAAAAAAAGUCCAGUUCAUUUCGGAUUGAAAAUUCGUACCCACAAUUAUCCCAUAGGCGUUCUCGAGCUAAUUUUUCGAACCAGGCCACUCAAUUUCCGUUCUUUAUAGUUGAAAAAUAAAUCAAAUAAAUUGUCUAGGUGGGUUUUGGCCGGCCUGAAUUUUUUUAGGCUUGGUUUUAGCUGACCACGCUCAGUCCCAUAGGAAGCAUGGGCGGGCCAAAUCCUAGCAGGCUCGGGCCGAGCCCACAGGCCGGGCCAAGCCAAAAAUCUCAGGCAACCCCGCCCCUAGGCAUAAUAUUAAGUUUUCCUCCUGUUUCUAUGAGUUUUUAAAUAUCGCUCAAAGGUGAUUGAAGUCUAGUGUUUGAAUUACUAGUUAUCGUUCGCCAACAAAGAAUUGUAGUUGAACGAAUCUGACCAGUGGGUACGGUUGAUCUAGAAUAAGGAUACUAUCAUGGGCCUUCUCUUAUCGUCUCCAUCUUCUUUGACAAGGCCCAGCACCACUCCAAAGUCCAAACAGUCCGCGCGUUGCCUUUGUUCAGCGCAAACGCAGCGCAGAAUCACGGCGCCCGCAUUACUACUCGCCCUCGUGAGCCAAGCAUGGUUCAGCAUUAUUGUUAAGAUCAAAGAUGAUACUAAGCAAUAUAUUAUUGUUUUAAGCAUAUUGAUAGUAUCCAAAUGAUAUCUGACCAUUACACACAACACACUACAAAAAUCACUAACAUGUGUAAGUGAAGACUAUAGAUGUUUGGAGACUUCAAAAUUUACUCUAUAAGAACUAGGUUUGACAUAUUGAUCGAAUGCCAAGUUACUUUGGGCAAAUCAUAAUCAUAAUGAUACCACAAUGUUAAUAAUAUAUUAAUACUUAAUGAUCAUGGAGCCAAUAAAAAACUCACGAGCUGGUCUUUUAAGAAAACUAGGUAAAAAUGAGGCUCCACUCGGUUUGUUUUAAAGGUUGAGCCGAACCAAAUCAAGCCAAGCUAUGAACAAGUCGAGCCAACUCGCAAAGCUUGAGCACUUUGCUAGCAUUAAUCAUAACCCUAUGAACACCUAUAGGAAAUUGGGUUAGUAGAUUUUUAAAAUUGACAAAGUCGCCAUAUGUAUCUUGAUAUUGAUGACAACAUCGCCUAAUGAAAAGUAGCCAUAUUAAUGUGCCAAACCUGAUUGUAUCUCUUGUGGACACGGGAUAUAACCAACUCCGAUGACCAGCCAAGUUAUUUUGCUAUCGAGCGAAUUUCAUAAACAAAUUUAAAAGUACUUUUUUGUUUAAGUCAUCAGAAAUUCACACCAUAUAUCGCAAAAUGUCAAAACCACAUUUUUAAAUAUAAAUAUGGAAUAGAAGUUGUAGUUAUAAUUCCUUCUAUUCCGACGCUCUCCUUGCCACUGAAUCUGCCCUUUUCCGGCAUAUCAACUACUAUCUACAUGUAAGCAAACAAAAAAAGGCAUAGGCACAUGAGAGUGACGAGUAUGCCUGCUGGAAGUGAAGGCAAAUGCUUUAAAAGUGUGGUUUCGUGAUAUGAUGAAAAGAUAUGCAAGUAAAAGUGUGACUGCCUUAAAACUGUUGCUUAGAAGUGCGAUGCUGUGAUGGAGCUGUGACAAAAAGUAGCUAGUUCUUGUAAGAUUUUCUCUUGAUCGUUUCCUCCCAUUAACAUUUGUUUCUGAACUCUAAGCAUGCUUUUAUUAUAAUUUAUAACCUAUCCGUGGCAUUCAACUCAACUAUAGCAAGAACCACGAAUGGAAAAAUAAAAAACAUAGUAAUGUUUUUUUAGAAAAACAUAGUAAUGUUUUUUUAGAAAAACAUCUGUGAUAUUGGCGUGGUGAUCUAGUCACUGUAGUUCAAUAGCAGCUAGGUUCAUAGGUCUAAAUACUGCUGAAUCAUUUCAUUAUUUGGAAUCUUUGGAGCAAGACAAACUGCCGCAUGACUACCAAUAUAGAGUGACGCCGCCUAUUUUGUAGCGAUUCUGUUUACCUUAGAUAAGGAUAAUAUAAACUGCUGCACACUGGAUCGCUCGUCAAGCCCAUGGUUUCGCCAAAACCAGAGAAAACAUAUAGCACUUGAGCUCUGCCCAUGCAAGGGAUUUUUUUUCCCAUGGUUUGGUACGUGCAUCAGGAAUGUGAACGGAAUUGGGCAUGGAAUCCACACGAGCCAGAAUGCCAGAUGCAUCUUGGCAAGCCUAGCAAUUAUUUGAGUACAGCAUGCCGGUAGAUAGGCUGCUCGACCGUGCAUCCUGCAAGUGGCCAAGGUUUUGCUGCAUGGGCGCCACCACGUAGGGACAUGUUAUACGUCGCAUUUUUUGGUUGGAGCUAAUCAAUCAACUUUUCAGUAAAAAUAAUACCUCCAUGCUCAUUCAUAGAGAUUCCUAGAUGGUCUUAACUUGCACUAGGUGUUGCCUGCAGCAGAGCUCAUUCGGCUAUUGUCUUGUCACUACCAAACCCUUAGACCAACAGAGUGUUAACUGCAAUCCACGCUCCUGUUUGUGGAUUUGCAUUCUGACGCAUCAUGUGUUCAUUGUUUGGUGCCCAAAGAAAUCACUUGCAUAGAAAACAAGGCCUCUCCACUUCCCCACAAAUUCUACCGAGAAUAAUCAGGGGCAAAUUCUGGCAUAAGGCAGACACCAGACAAAGAUGCUGAAAGGUACUCGUGCAAGUUUUCUGCAGUUGUUUUGUCUGAAAUUUGUCCAAUGUUUGCCUCCCAGGGCUUGCAUCUUUCGACUUCAAUAGUGUGUUUGGGUUUGGGAUGAGGUCAUGAGGCCCCAAAAAAUCUCAUUGAUUUAGACAGAUGUUAAAAGUUGUAUACAAGUGGUACAUCGUACAUGAUAAUUUCGCUAAAGCAAGGGUAGUAGGUGACAAUUCCGCUGUUCGGACCCAUCUCAUUUUUUAGGUGAAAUAGUAGGGGAGACGUACCUGAAAAUUAUUCCUCCAUAAUUUCACUUUGAAUGAUAUGUGAUAGAGGGGCAUUAAUAUAAUAAUUUAAACAAAUCUAGUGAUGCCUGGGGAUUUUUUUUCCAGGAAGAAUAGAGACUUCAACUGCAAAAAAGUUGUAGAAACAAACACAUUUAGCCCUCAACUCAGCAGGUCUGACAAAUUCUUGUGGUUAUAAGAUCUUAGAGAAAAAGAAGAGAUAAAUUUGAAACCUAUCUCAGAGUGUCAUGAACCAUAAACAACUCCCAUCUGAUGCCGUCUGCAACGUACUUUGAACUGAAGAGCUAAGAAAGAGUAAUUAGCCAUAGACACAACUCUAGUCAAGAUAGAGUUUGGGCUAAAACAACUUCAUCUUAGAAAUCGUUAUGAUGCAGACUAUUUCAGUUUGGGCUGCAUUAUUGAAGUGUACAAUAAUAAUAGGUAAAAUUAAAAUAAACAAGUUUCAUGAAUUAUUUGAACAACUCAUUGGAUGUUCUUGUUGCAGUCAUCUGGUGUGGCAUAGCAUAAUUCAUUCUCGGAAACGAUUCAUUUGAUCAAAUGCAUGAAUCCGAGAGUUAAGUAAUUUCUGUUGCAUAGGAUAGUUUUGCAUUGAGGAAAGCUGAGACAACCAACUGUUCGUUGGAUGUAUACUUGUUGCAUUGCAGCCAUCCGGUGUUGCAGUGCAAAUCCACAAGGCUAAGAUAGCUGACAAUUUAUUUUUUCAAACAUUUAAUUCUUCUUUUUUCCCAACCUGGAAGUUCAUUUUGAGUUGCCCAUUUGAUUGAAACAUGGAACACGUUUUGCAUAGAUUUAUUUUUCGUAGGUAAAGGUUUUGCAGCGAAGAUCUAGUUUCCGUGAUUUUCAACGGACGCACUCCGUUUUUCCUUGUGGAUACGUAAGAACAACGACGGUCCACUUGAGUCACCGAUAGAAAGCUCCGAACGGUGUACCGCUCUCCUUUGCCGACGCCGUCCGUCAGCUCACGAAAACGUGACGGACUGACGGGCAUGGGCAUGAAUUGCCCCAUUUAACGAAACUUAACCCUGUUCACACAAUCACAUAGGAUGAAUUCGGAUAAAAUUUUAAGGACUGGCCCCAGAAAUUUUAGUUUCUCUCUUCCCAUCUACACAUGGAUGUGAGCAGCGUGGUUCACCAGGCUCGCACAACGGACGAAGCCACGGCAGAGCGGCUCGCGCGCAGCCGUGCACGGCGCGGCAAAACAGCCAUCGGCGCCUCUUUCUUCUGCAUCGCCGGGGCACAUGCGCGCGCGCCCUGCCGGGGGCGGGGAACGGGAUACCAGGCGGGGACGGCCGCGCGCCCGCGGGUUUGCGGCAGCGUUGCCCCUGCCCGGAUGGUUGUUGUCGCGGCGUGGUGGCCGCGCACGGAACCGCGGUCGCGUGUCAAGCCAAUGUCCCCGGCCGCUGCGCCACACCGAUCCAAGACUUGGAUGGACAAAAAAAAUCACAGGAGCACUCACUGGCUGUCGUACAAAAUUCAUCAACACUUUUGGAUUUCGAACUUUGAAUUUGUUUAGGCUAGACGAACGCAGAUUGGGCCGAAUCUUUUCGGAACGAAAAGAAGAAGAAGAUGAAGAAGAAACAAACAACCAGUGAGAUUGACAGCGGGGUCCGAGUCCAACUCCGAGCUGGAUGACGUGAACGAUCAGACUGCGCGUUACGCUCGGCAAGAAAAGAAAGACAAAGACGGCCGCCAUAUCCAUGGAUCCCUGCCGAGACCGUGGACGGGCGGGCGUGUAGCUGAGCUGCGCAACGGAUAGCGUUGUCCGUCGUGGCAGGAUGGGUGGUGCUCGUUCCGUUCCGUCCGCGUUGGACGCCGGGGUUUCGCAGUCGCAGCCAUGCACGAUAUAUGGCCUGCCGGCGCACGUGUGCUUUAUUGACACUCCACCCUGAUCCGGCCUUAUCUAAUUCUUAUUACUGUGCUAGCCAAAUCCAAGAACCACCCGAGAAAUUCAGACUGCAACACAGUUAAAAAAAAAAGGAUGAAACAGCUUGGGCAAAGUGCUUUUGGUUGCGGCAUCUCCCGGUGCAUCACCGAAAACAAAUUUGGGUAGCGGAGAGGUGUACAAUUUUGGUUGGAGCAUUAUAUUGCUCCCCAACAAGAUAAAGCACUUCAUGAAACGGAAAGGGCGCCCCCACCGUGUCUUGCACGUAGCGCGUCACGUAUGCCGGCGGCACGUGCGGGAGCGAUUCAGUUCCAGAGCUUUUCUGGGAAUGGAACAAGGGUGACGGGGUUGUUCUGGGUCUCUUUGAUUGUGUCGCACUCAUUUUACUAAGGUCAGUUGGGAGUUUUAUGACACUAAAUUCAAUAUAAACAUCAGCAAAAUUGCUAGCUUAGCAAGAUAAUUAAUAGAGGGAGUUUUAUAAGAUGAGAGAGGAGUUUCAUCCCCAUAACACUUAUCUGGCACAGUUAGCUAGUUCUUAGUAUAGGUAACUGCGUACUGAGAAUGGCCUUAAGUAAUUCAGUUUUGAAACUUCAGUUCAUAUGUUCGUAUCAAGCAGUUCUAUUGAUGUGGCUAUAUAAAGUGUUAAAUCUUUCAAGGGAUCUCACUUAAAUAUACACUAUUAAAUACCGCAGAACUUCCGACAAAAAGCAGCUCGCACUCGGUUUUGGGAAAAGAUAAAAAAAAAAGACAGCCUGCGCAGCGGUGUUUCCGAAAACAAAAAACAAAAAUGCGAGAAGCGCACAAAAAGAAACAGAUUGUUGGUUGGAGCAUCAUCGCUCACAACAAAUCUACCGUAACACUUGCGCAAGCGAUGGACACCAGCUGGCUAAGCUUUUUGUGUCGAUAUGGAACAGAAAGGGGCACUGUAGUGUUGGUACCUUGCACGUAUGCGUCCGUUACAUGUUCGACGAACGUGAGUCACCCGUCGUCGUAGAUGAGACCACGCCAAUUCAGUUCGAUGAGAGCCUUUUUUUAAUUCUUCUGUGGAGAAGACAACAGCAACCGUGACGUGUUGGAUUGUUGUACGCGCCGCGCCAUUAGCUUUUUCACUAGCCUGAGACCACUUCCAACUUUGCAAACUUGCUCGUAUUACGUGUAAAUCUCAUCCGAGCUGGGAUUAUGCCCAAGUGCCCAACCAAUUUUGUGCACGCACGUUUCACUUUUAAUGUUUGCGGUGGGCUGCUGACCCUGGGUUUGUGGCCUGUGAAGAAAAAGCGUUAACUAGAUGCUUGCAAGCUUCUUCAUCACACACUGUUCGUUGCGCUCGUCGCCCUGUCACCAACCGGUCCCUUCAGGUCGAUCACACCACCGGUUCGCCACGUCAGUGUCUCGCUUCACUCGCUAUAAAUAGAGCCCGGCGCCGGCUCUGCUUCAUCACCAAUUGUGAUCUCUGCUAGCUACCGUACCUCCAGUGUGUGCUCGUGCUAACAGCAGCAAUGGCGCCCGCUCAAUGUGUGGCCUCGCAGAGGGUGUUCCACUUCGGCAAGGGCAAGAGCGAGGGCAACAAGACGAUGAAGGAGCUGCUGGGCGGCAAGGGCGCGAACCUGGCGGAGAUGUCGAGCAUCGGGCUGUCGGUGCCGCCGGGGUUCACGGUGUCGACGGAGGCCUGCCAGCAGUACCAGGAGGCGGGGCGCUCCCUGCCGCAGGGCCUCUGGGACGAGAUCAUCGACGGCCUGGCGUGGGUGGAGGAGGAAAUGGGCGCCCGCCUCGGCGACCCGCAGCGCCCGCUCCUGCUCUCCGUCCGCUCCGGCGCCGCGGUAAUGCCAUGGCCAUGCCAUCCUUGUUCGUUUGGUUCAUUCGCCUGCUCGCUUCUGAUCGCUUUGCCUUUGUGUUAUGUGAUAUGCGCAGGUGUCGAUGCCCGGGAUGAUGGACACGGUGCUCAACCUGGGACUCAACGACGAGGUGGCCGCCGGGCUCGGCGCCAAGAGCGGCGAGCGCUUCGCCAACGACUCCUACCGCCGCUUCCUCGACAUGUUCGGCAACGUCGUGAGUAUCUCCUGCCCAUCUGUCCUAAUGACUCAUCAGCGCCUCGUCGGAUCGGAGACGAUCUCGCAUGUUAAGCUAGCUUGGUUGUUGAUCACUCUACUCGCUUACUUGUAUGACUAGCUAGCUUGGUAGGUAGCUUAGCUAGGCGGCCUAUGCCUAGUUGUGCGUGCAUCGACCCAUGAUCGCUUCCGCGGGUGACCCGCGUCCGUCCGAGACGACGGCGGCUGCGUCGCACGCUUGCGGCCGCCGCCGGGGGCCACCAGCGUCGGGGGUUUCGUCUGUUUUGCCAGGCAGGACGCAGGACGGUGGGAGAGUACUUGCAGCACAGUGCUGUGUUUUCUUGGGUUAACCGAACGUGUGGGGAUCAUUCGGCACGGUUAAGCCAGUGAACGUGCUCGAUGCCCCGGCGUUGGAGUUAACCAGUGAAGUGAUUGGGCCAAGCACCUUUGCUUUUUGCUGCCAAUAAUAGGCAAGGUCCAAAUCAGAGAAGCUUUUCUACCUUUUUUAUUUCUUCUUAAAAAGUAAAAAAAAUUUGCGGACCUAAAAAGAAUAAAAAAUAUUUUCCAACGCAAAUGGAGGAAGGAAGUUGACGGUUCAAGAAAGGAACACGGCGACGGCAUCGUUGUAUCAGGUAAGAGGAAUUCGCAGGUGUGUGCAUAUUCCCCUGCAGAAAUUUAACAUGGACGGAGCAGUAUAUACAAGGUCAUUGUCAGUGUUCAAGCUCAUGCUAGACAGCCCUGUACGGUAUGUCGGUUGUCGGAGGUACGCCUCGUUUGUGGGGCUGAAGGACCGAUGACGGCGGCGCCUGUCUUCACCAGCAGAGUUUGACACUCUUUCCACCCGGAAAAUGGGUACAAGACGAUGAGGAAAAGAAAGUUUCUUGAAACGCCAUAGAAAAAUAUUUUUUAAAAACAAUGAGCAUUUAAUAUGGUCAGUUGGGGGCUGAGGGGAGAAGGUUGGUUGGUUCAACCUGCACACACAAGUGAUGACAUCUGCUAUGGAGAUGCUCAACCAGAGUUGGUUUUGGUCAUCUGUAAUUAGUUUUUUCAAUGACACUUCUAACUAGAAUGCUCAAACAGAGUUUUGUUUGUACUAUAAGAUAAUUGUUCCUCAGCAGAGCCUUUCUUUACCACCAGGUCAUGGACAUUCCCCACGCACUGUUCGAGGAGAAGCUUGAAGCCAUGAAGGAAGCCAAGGGGGUGAAGAACGACAAUGACCUGACUGCCUCUGACCUCAAAGAGCUGGUGGCUCAGUACAAGGAGGUCUACGUCGAAGCCAAGGGGGAGCCAUUUCCCUCAGGUAUGCCCACCGCAGCCUCACCCUCAGUUGAUAAUAUCUGUAUGAAAAAAAAAAUUCUCUUGAAACUAAAGCUGUUUCUUUGCAUCAAACUUAUGCAUGCCUUUACCUUGUUUUGUCUUGCAGAUCCCAAGAAGCAGCUUGAGCUAGCAGUGUUGGCUGUGUUCAACUCGUGGGACAGCCCCAGGGCCAACAAGUACAGGAGCAUUAACCAGAUCACUGGUCUGAAAGGCACUGCUGUGAACGUGCAGUCCAUGGUGUUUGGCAACAUGGGGGACACUUCUGGCACUGGCGUGCUCUUCACUAGGAAUCCUAGCACUGGAGAGAAGAAGCUGUAUGGCGAGUUCCUGGUGAAUGCUCAGGUAUGGACCAGUUUCUGUUGUGCCUAUUUGAUUCACAAUCUUAGCUGCCCUGUUUGAUCAAGUUAUUUUACACAAGUUAUAUUAAACAUGCAGUAGUAUCAACGAAUCUGUAUAAUGUAUGUGUGUUUCUGGUUCAGGGUGAGGAUGUGGUUGCUGGAAUCAGAACCCCGGAGGAUCUUGAUGCCAUGAAGGCACAGAUGCCGGAUGCUUAUGUAGAGCUCGUUGAGAACUGCAAGAUACUGGAGAGCCACUACAAAGAAAUGAUGGUACCUUAUUAUUGCAUUUUCAACCUUUACUGCACCAUUUAUUUUUGAGCUAUAUUUAAACAUGAUCUCUUUAAUAAUUUGCAACAUAAGCGCACUUGAAUACUGGUGUUGCUUCAAUGUGUUCUGUAGAUUGGCAUUGUGUCUCUGUUACUGCCAUUGGCCAUGAUCUCAGACUUGCUUGCUUUUUAUGCAUGAUGCAGGACAUUGAAUUUACCGUUCAGGAAAAUAGGCUCUGGAUGUUACAGUGCAGAUCAGGAAAACGUACAGGCCAAGGGGCGGUAAAGAUUGCUGUGGACAUGGUUAAUGAGGGUCUUGUUGAGCGCCGUCAAGCGAUUAAGAUGGUAGAGCCAGGCCACCUGGACCAGCUUCUCCAUCCUCAGGUAAUGGAUAACCAUGAGGCCCGUAAACUGAUUGUGCCUUACUUGAAAUUCAGUACUCUUAUAAGUUUGGCCUUACUUGGAAUUCACUUUAUAAGUUAAGUACUGGAUAUGUAUUAACAUCACUGUUUUAAUCUUGUCCAAUGAAAACCAGUUUGAGAACCCAUCAGCAUACAAGGAUCAAGUAAUCGCUACAGGCUUACCAGCUUCACCUGGGGCUGCUGUGGGCCAAAUUGUAUUUACUGCAGAGGACGCUGAAGCAUGGCAUGCCCAAGGGAAAGCUGCUAUCCUGGUAAACACCAUUUUAUCCUCAUUUUUAAGAAAAAAAGGUCUUCUGCAGUUUUUGUGUCAUUUUGAUCUGGACUUUGUGCUUCGAUGAAAAGAUCUGUUAAUUGAGCAAAACUGGUCUAUUUACUGGACCUGUUAGAAUAGUUGCUUGCAGAGUUACAGUCACAAAAAUCCCACUUAUCACAGACAGCCAUUUUUGAAAUGCAUAUGGAAGCUCCAAGUCGUAUCGCUUCAUCUUUUGCAUUCUGAGAAUUUUUUCUUUGCAAAUAUAUAGGUGAGGACAGAGACCAGCCCAGAGGAUGUUGGUGGCAUGCACGCAGCUGUUGGAAUUCUUACAGCAAGAGGUGGGAUGACCUCUCAUGCUGCUGUGGUAGCACGUGGUUGGGGAAAAUGUUGUGUCUCAGGAUGCUCAAGCGUUCUCGUAAAUGAUGCUGAGAAGGUGAAUAGAAUUCUUGUUUGCACAUCUUCUUCUUUGUAGAAGGUGACAUGCCAUGUUAAAGUUUGUAACAGGAUUAUGACAUUCUUUGUAGAUGUGCUCCGUCCGCCAUUUUUAAGUUCUUAUUAACGAGAUUUUGAGGAUGUAGAUGUUUCCUUACUUUGCUAUGUCUACAUUUACAGUCUGUAGUGAUUGGAGACAAGGUGAUGCAUGAAGGUGAGUGGCUAUCACUGAAUGGAUCUACUGGUGAAGUCAUCGUGGGGAAGCAGCCACUUUCCCCACCAGUCCUCAGUGGUGAUCUGGGAACCUUCAUGUCCUGGGUAGAUGAAGUUAGGCAACUGAAGGUAAAUUCCUAGAAAUAACAAAUAUGUAAUAUUAGUUAAAACAUGGAUACAAACUGUUGGAAGUAGAAACCAACAAAAAGGGCAUCAGAUUAUUUAUUCAGACAGGCCAAAGCUAGUCAACCCCACUACACAUUUUUCAACAGAAAUGCUUAUUCGUACAUAUGAUCCACCUUCCAGGUUUUGGCUAAUGCGGAUACCCCUGAGGAUGCACUGACAGCAAGAAACAAUGGGGCAGAAGGAAUUGGACUAUGCCGGACGGAGCACAUGGUAUGUAUUUUAGUUACUGUCCAAUAUCUUUUGGGUGGGAUCUUGGAAAACUUACUCUUUCUUGAAUUCCUUCGUCGAACAGUUGGGUAAACUUUAAGGACCUCCCGUUCUAGUCUCAUGUUCUCCUUUUCUGCACUUUGGCAGUUCUUUGCUUCGGAUGAGAGGAUUAAGGCUGUGAGGCAGAUGAUUAUGGCUCCCACACUUGAACUGAGGCAGAAGGCACUAGAUCGUCUUUUGCCUUAUCAGAGGUCUGACUUUGAAGGCAUUUUCCGUGCUAUGGAUGGUAUGUGAAAAUCACGAUGCAUUCAUUUACAUGCUCUCCAAUUGAACUGGAUGCACUAGUGUUACUGAACAUAACAAGAGUAAGCAACCUUCUUAAAUAGACAACAUUGACUACUAAUGUAAAGUGAAAAGGUAGACAAGUUUUAAACCUUAGGAUGCAAAAUACUUCAAAAAUAAGAACGAAAUUGGGCCAGUAACAUAUUGCAUCAAUUAUUUAACUUGGUAACAUAAAGUUCUGCUAUGAUUUAUCCAUUAGUUUUUUUUAAUCUUUUAUAGCGAGUGGUAUAUGUACAUGUUUCAUGGAAACAGAUAUAGAAUUAAACUACUAGAAUAAAUUUUAACAUGUAUUGUAGUUAGUUCCACAGUAUGUAUUUUAAAGUGCGGAAUGGAUUUGAACAUUAUUUUUUUUGCAUUUCAGGGCUUUCAGUGACUAUUCGGCUUCUGGACCCCCCACUUCAUGAGUUUCUUCCUGACGGGAAUGUUGAAGACAUUGUGCGUGAAUUAUGUUCUGAAACUGGAGCCAAUCAGGAGGAAGCCCUUGCAAGAAUUGAAAGUCUUUCAGAAGUAAAUCCAAUGCUUGGUUUCCGUGGGUGCAGGUUGGUUUUUGUGCUCCGUUUAAAUCAGUCACCCCCCCUCCUUGAUCCAUUUGGUUCCCUUGUUAGUGAAAUAUUAAAAAGAAUAAACUCUGUAUAUUUACCUCGACUAAUAUUGGAACUGCUAAAAUUCCAGGCUCGGUAUAUCAUAUCCUGAGCUAACAGAAAUGCAAGCCCGUGCCAUCUUUGAAGCUGCUAUAGCGAUGACCAACCAGGGUGUUCAAGUUUUCCCAGAGAUAAUGGUUCCUCUUGUUGGGACACCUCAGGCAUGCAUCUUUAUUUCCUUAUUUGUGCAUAUGGUAUCUCUGCAGUUCAUGGUGUUCAAAAUGACAAAAUCAAAAUUGAAUAAACAACCAAGUUCUGUACACAUGUAAUUUACGAUUUUAUGCAAACAUCAAGUUGACCUACACCCAAUUUCCCACCAAAUUCAUUUCUUGAAAUUUUCUCUCUCGAAUUCUAAGUUUAUUGCUUUCACUUGAUUUUUCCUUCAGACAUCUGACAUUUGACUUUUGCAGGAACUGGGGAAUCAAGUGGCCCUUAUCCGUGAAACUGCUAACAAAGUUUUCGCUGCUCUGGGUAAAACCAUUGACUACAAAAUUGGAACUAUGAUUGAAAUUCCGAGGGCAGCUCUAGUAGCUGAUGAGGUAGGAAGCAUCUAACUCCCUUCAGAAUAAUCUUAAAUAUUGCUGUUUAGGUUUAGCUUUUAGAUCAUAUUUUUCAUGAAUGGUUUAGUAAUAGAACCCCGGAUUUUUACUCUAAAACAUGUGAAUAGUAACUGAUGGUAUGAAUUUAUUAAGUGCAAAUAAUAAGUUUAUCCUCUAAUUUAAAAAAAAAACUGACAUUCUUGUUUUGGUUUCACAACCUGACAGAUAGCAGAGCAGGCUGAAUUCUUCUCUUUUGGAACGAACGACCUCACACAGAUGACAUUUGGCUACAGCAGGGAUGAUGUGGGGAAGUUUCUUCCCAUUUAUCUGUCUCAGGGUAUCCUCCAACAUGAUCCCUUUGAGGUAAAAUUUUAGCAGCUCUCACCCUUCAGUUUUAGAUGAUAUACCUGCAUUUUCAUCAUCCACUCUUGUUUUUCAAGGAAUAUUUCCAUCAUCCACAGAUGCGAGCAUCUCAUGUCCUCUAGGCAUUUUUCAUGUCCUUGACUUUUGGUUACGUGCAUGCUCUGGUAAAAUUCAACCUAGUAACUUGCCCAUUGAAUGUUGAUAAACAUAUCAGGUGCUGGAUCAGAGGGGAGUGGGCGAGCUGGUUAAGUUUGCUACAGAGAGGGGUCGCAAAGCUAGGCCUAACUUGAAGGUUAGUUUUUGGGACUUGUGGACAUUGGCUCUUUUCCUUAGAAAUCAUGGUUUCAUUGUUUGGUGCUGUCUGCAAACAGGUGGGCAUCUGUGGAGAACACGGUGGGGAGCCUUCGUCAGUUGCAUUCUUUGCAAAGUCGGGGCUGGAUUAUGUUUCUUGCUCGCCUUUCAGGUUGGUCAAGUGAUAAACUCAAGAUACAACUCCCAGAUUCAUAACUGUAGCAAAACCUUAACUACUUUUUAUGAAAUAUCUUGUGCAGGGUUCCCAUCGCCAGGCUAGCUGCAGCUCAGGUGCUCGUCUGAGGGCACCGCCUCAUCGGCAACCGGAUCACCUGCUGUUGGUGCGUCUGGUGAAGAAUACUAAUACAAAGCCAUGGAACGGUGGAACUCUGCUGCCUGGCAAAGGCCGUUGUAUCUUGUAUGAAGUCUCCGUGCGCGUGCGCAUGUAAGACUUAAUGUGUGGUUUUCUGCAUUUUCCCUUGAACUACCAUGGUAAUGUAGUACCAAACAGAGAUGAUGACGAAGAACAAUCGAAUAAAUUAAUUGGCGAUUAC